rnacentral:rRNA from 1 species
UCAAUGGGCGGGAGCCUGAACCAGCCAAGCCGCGUGAAGGAAGAAGGCGCCAGGCGUCGUAAACUUCUUUUGUCGGGGAACAAAGGGCGCCACGCGUGGCGUUGUGAGUGUACCCGAAGAAAAAGCAUCGGCUAACUCCGUGCC